GGUUGACCUCGGAUCAGGUAGGGAUACCCGCUGAACUUAAGCAUAUCAAUAAGCGGAGGAAAAGAAACCAACAGGGAUUGCCUCAGUAACGGCGAGUGAAGCGGCAAGAGCUCAAAUUUGAAAGCUGGCUCCUUCGGGGUCCGCAUUGUAAUUUGCAGAGGAUGCUUCGGGAGUGGCCCCCAUCUAAGUGCCCUGGAACGGGCCGUCAUAGAGGGUGAGAAUCCCGUCU
rnacentral:rRNA from 2 species